rnacentral:rRNA from 1 species
UACGGAGGGGGCUAGCGUUGUUCGGAAUUACUGGGCGUAAAGCGCACGUAGGCGGCUUUGUAAGUUAGAGGUGAAAGCCCGGGGCUCAACUCCGGAAUUGCCUUUAAGACUGCAUCGCUAGAAUUGUGGAGAGGUAAGUGGAAUUCCGAGUGUAGAGGUGAAAUUCGUAGAUAUUCGGAGGAACACCAGUGGCGAAGGCGGCUCACUGGCUCGGUACUGACGCUGAGGUGCGAAAGCGUGGGGAGCAAACAGG